ACCUUAUCCAGUUAUUCUUCAAACGCCUUGAUGCACUAGGUUUCAGUAACAAGCAGCACUUUCAGCAAGUGGGCCGGUCUCUUUUCUGCCUGGGUUUGUUAAUACGUUACAGUAGCUCAUUAUUGCAUGCAUCUGUUUCCAGUAACAACUUACAUGUUUCUAGCAGCCUCAACCUAUUUAAGAAAUAUCUUCAGGCCGAAGACUUUGUCAUCAAGGUCCGCUCAUUGCAGGCACUGGGCUAUGUUUUUAUUGCUCGCCCUGAAUGCAUGCUGGAAAAGGAUGUA
rnacentral:misc_RNA from 1 species